AACGAACGCUGGCGGCAUGCCUAACACAUGCAAGUCGAACGAGACCUUCGGGUCUAGUGGCGCACGGGUGCGUAACGCGUGGGAACCUGCCCUUAGGUUCGGAAUAACUCCCCGAAAGGGGUGCUAAUACCGGAUAAUGUCUUCGGACCAAAGAUUUAUCGCCUUUGGAUGGGCCCGCGUUGGAUUAGCUAGUUGGUGGGGUAAAAGCCUACCAAGGCGACGAUCCAUAGCUGGUCUGAGAGGAUGAUCAGCCACACUGGGACUGAGACACGGCCCAGACUCCUACGGGAGGCAGCAGUGGGGAAUAUUGGACAAUGGGCGAAAGCCUGAUCCAGCAAUGCCGCGUGAGUGAUGAAGGCCUUAGGGUUGUAAAGCUCUUUUACCCGGGAUGAUAAUGACAGUACCGGGAGAAUAAGCGCCGGCUAACUCCGUG
rnacentral:rRNA from 1 species